rnacentral:rRNA from 1 species
UACGUAGGGUGCAGGCGUUAAUCGGAAUUACUGGGCGUAAAGGGUGCGUAGGCGGUUGUUUAAGUCUGUCGUGAAAUCCCCGGGCUCAACCUGGGAAUGGCGAUGGAUACUGGGCAGCUAGAGUGUGUCAGAGGAUGGUGGAAUUCCCGGUGUAGCGGUGAAAUGCGUAGAGAUCGGGAGGAACAUCAGUGGCGAAGGCGGCCAUCUGGGACAACACUGACGCUGAAGCACGAAAGCGUGGGGAGCAAACAGG